GAUGAACGCUGGCGGCGUGCCUAAUACAUGCAAGUCGAGCGAACAGACGAGGAGCUUGCUCCUCUGACGUUAGCGGCGGACGGGUGAGUAACACGUGGAUAACCUACCUAUAAGACUGGGAUAACUUCGGGAAACCGGAGCUAAUACCGGAUAAUAUAUUGAACCGCAUGGUUCAAUAGUGGAAGACGGUUUUGCUGUCACUUAUAGAUGGAUCCGCGCCGCAUUAGCUAGUUGGUAAGGUAACGGCUUACCAAGGCAACGAUGCGUAGCCGACCUGAGAGGGUGAUCGGCCACACUGGAACUGAGACACGGUCCAGACUCCUACGUGAGGCAGCAGUAGGGAAUCUUCCGCAAUGGGCGAAAGCCUGACGGAGCAACGCCGCGUGAGUGAUGAAGGUCUUCGGAUCGUAAAACUCUGUUAUUAGGGAAGAACAAAUGUGUAAGUAACUAUGCACGUCUUGACGGUACCUAAUCAGAAAGCCACGGCUAACUACGUG
rnacentral:rRNA from 1 species